UUGCUGAUGACCAUGUCUUCCUCUCUGCAGAGACCACCCCAGCCACCAUGGAGGUGGCAGAGGCAGAAAGUCGUCUGAAUCCCAGCUGUAAGAUCAUGACCUUCAGACCUUCCAUGGAGGAAUUCCGGGAGUUCAACAAGUACCUCGCAUACAUGGAGUCUAAAGGAGCCCACCGUGCUGGUCUUGCAAAGGUGAUUCCUCCUAAGGAGUGGAAGCCAAGGCAGUGCUAUGAUGACAUUGAUAAUUUGCUAAUCCCAGCACCGAUUCAGCAGAUGGUCACAGGGCAGUCAGGACUGUUCACACAAUACAACAUCCAGAAAAAAGCCAUGACAGUGAAGGAGUUCAGGCAGCUGGCCAACAGUGGCAAAUAUUGUACUCCAAGAUACUUGGAUUAUGAAGAUUUGGAGCGCAAGUACUGGAAGAACUUAACUUUUGUGGCACCCAUCUAUGGAGCAGACAUUAAUGGGAGCAUAUAUGAUGAGGGUGUGGAUGAAUGGAACAUAGCUCGCCUAAAUACAGUCUUGGAUGUGGUUGAGGAAGAGUGCGGUAUUUCUAUUGAGGGUGUAAAUACCCCCUAUCUCUAUUUUGGCAUGUGGAAAACCACUUUCGCAUGGCACACCGAGGAUAUGGACCUCUACAGCAUUAAUUAUCUCCACUUUGGAGAGCCCAAGUCUUGGUAUGCAAUACCCCCGGAGCAUGGGAAACGACUUGAAAGACUAGCUCAAGGUUUUUUCCCAAGCAGUUCUCAAGGGUGUGAUGCAUUUCUUCGCCACAAGAUGACACUGAUAUCUCCCUCAGUGUUGAAGAAAUAUGGUAUUCCCUUUGAUAAGAUCACUCAGGAAGCUGGAGAAUUUAUGAUCACUUUCCCAUAUGGAUACCAUGCUGGUUUUAAUCAUGGUUUCAACUGUGCAGAAUCUACAAAUUUUGCUACUAUCAGAUGGAUUGACUAUGGGAAGGUUGCUAAAUUGUGCACCUGCAGGAAAGACAUGGUGAAAAUUUCAAUGGAUAUCUUUGUGAAGAAAUUUCAGCCAGACAGAUACCAGCUUUGGAAACAAGGAAAGGAUAUAUACACCAUUGAUCACACAAAGCCUACUCCAGAAUCCACCCCUGAAGUAAAAGCGUGGCUGCAGAGGAGGAGGAAAGUAAAGGGAUCCAGGAGCUUCCAGUGCACUGGUUCUAACUCCAAGAGGCCUAAAAAUGAGGAAGACAAGGAAGUGUCAACUGCAGUCAGUGAGACAAGGGGACCUAUCUCUGACCCAGUCCGAGACAACCUCAAAGUCAGGGAAAAGCCAGAAGAAGUAAUAAAACUGGGGAACACAGAAGCACCUUCAGAGGAAGAGACCUCUACUAGCAGGAAGCAGCUGGAUCCAAAUUCAUCAGAUAAUGUCAGACUCUCAGGAAACAGCUGUUUAACUACAUCUCUAACAGAGGAAAUAAAAAUUAAGGAUGACCAAGCCUGUGCCAUAAUUCCAUCUUUGAAUCCCAGUGAGACUGAUGAUUCCAUAUUUGGUCGCCGUGUGACCCCCAAGGGAUCAGACUCACCCACAAUUCCAUGGCCACAGUCACCUGAGUUGUGCUCCUCAGUGGCAGAGAGUAACAGUGCGCUGACAGAGAGAGAAGAGAGUAAUGUGCAGAGCCGUGGGAGUGCUCUUGAACCUGGGGAAUUCCCAGCGGUCCCCAGUGAAGAGAGAAAUGGCUUCAAAGUCCCCAGUAGAAUAGAUGGAGAAACCAAAACAGCUAAAAGUUGGCGCCAUCCACUUAGCAAGCCUCCAGCAAGAUCCCCAAUGACUCUGGUGAAACAACAGGCAACAAGUGAUGAAGAAUUGCCGGAGGUUCCAUCAAUUGAGGAAGAAGUGGAAGAAACAGAAUCUUGGGCAAAGCCUCUGGUUCACCUUUGGCAGACGAAGUCCCCAAACUUUGUGGCUGAACAAGAGUAUAAUGCAGCCAUGGGCAGAAUGGAGCCGUACUGUGCUAUCUGUGCUCUCCUCAUGCCAUACUACAAGCCAGAUAACAGCAAUGAAGAAAAUGAUUCUAGAUGGCAGACAAAACCAGAUAAAGUCGUUACUUCAGGAGGAAAGACUAAGCCCCUCAUUCCAGAGAUGUGUUUUAUCUAUAGCGAAGAAAAUAUAGAAUAUUCUCCACCUAAUGCCUUCCUGGAAGAGGAUGGAACAAGCCUUCUGAUUUCCUGUGCAAAGUGUUGCGUACGGGUUCAUGCAAGUUGUUAUGGUAUCCCUUCUCAUGAAAUUUCUGAUGGAUGGUUAUGUGCCCGGUGCAAAAGAAAUGCAUGGACAGCAGAGUGCUGUCUCUGCAAUUUGAGAGGGGGCGCUCUUAAGGAAACUAAGAACAAUAAGUGGGCCCAUGUCAUGUGUGCUGUUGCGGUCCCAGAAGUUCGAUUCACUAAUGUCCCAGAAAGGACACAGAUAGAUGUAGGCAGAAUACCUUUACAAAGGUUAAAAUUGAAAUGCAUCUUCUGUAGACACCGGGUUAAGAAGAUCUCUGGAGCCUGCAUCCAGUGUUCCUAUGGCCGCUGCCCAGCCUCAUUCCACGUCACAUGUGCUCAUGCUGCUGGAGUGCUGAUGGAGCCUGACGAUUGGCCAUACGUGGUGAACAUCACGUGUUUUCGGCAUAAGGCCAACCCAAAUGUGAAGUUCAAGGCUGGUGAGAAGGGCAUCUCCGUGGGGCAGACUGUCAUCACGAAGCAUCGGAACACUCGGUACUAUAGCUGCAGAGUGAUCGCCAUAACAUCACAAACCUUCUAUGAGGUCAUGUUUGAUGAUGGCUCCUUUAGCAGAGACACAUUCCCUGAGGAUAUUGUGAGUCGAGACUGUGUGAAACUGGGCCCUCCUGCCGAAGGUGAAGUCAUUCAAGUCAAGUGGCCUGAUGGCAAACUCUAUGGGGCAAAAUAUCUCGGAUUGAAUGUGGCCCACAUGUACCAGGUUGAAUUUGAAGAUGGAUCCCAGAUAGCAAUGAAGAGAGAGGACAUCUACACUUUAGAUGAAGAGUUACCCAAGAGAGUGAAAGCUCGUUUCGUAAGUGCUGGCACAAGCCACUCAGGGAUCUGCCCUGUGAUUCCCUAAUCCUCUCCCAGCGGGAAACAUGCUUAGGCCUCUGGGUUGAUUUUGAAGAAAGUCAUUGCAACUUUUCCCUUAUUGAAACCUAUUGAAUGCAAACCUCAAAUUUCACCCAAAUCAGGGAAACCAGUGUUGGUUCCUUAUUUUUUUUCUAAUGAUGCUUCUUUGUGUUAACAUUUAAUGGCAUACACAGUAGUUGUUGAAGGUGUGCUCUAUACCAGCAAGGCAUUUACGGUCUUGUUAGUAGAAGCAACAGUAAAAGAAAGCUUUCAGUAGUAGAUUACAGGGGACUCACUCAGCAUAAGUGACUGUCUACUUUCCUGUAGCUUUAGCAUAUAUUGAUUAACUUGUCUGCCUUCUGUUUUACAUGUAACAAAGACCUAAAAACCUCAAUAACUUGUCUGUCAGAAGUUUGUUAAUGUUUAUGUCAGUUCACAAUUAAAAUAAGCUCUCACUUUUAUAACAAAAGAAAUAAAGAAAGCCCAAAUGCUAGUUGUGUGAAUAAUGCUAAAGCAGUGCAGUAAAAAAAGAAAGUGCUAUUGGUUUCGAGCCCAGCACAUACCAUUAAAAGACAAAUAAACAUGGAAAAAUAAUAAAAACUGAAGUCGUUAAAAAAUAUAAUUCACAAAACUUAGUUUUCAUUAUUGUAUCAUAAAAUAUUUAGUGGACCCUGAAAUGAAGUCAGGUUUACUCAUUUAGAAUUUCAUUCUGCUGCAUCUGCAAAAUGAUAAAUACUGAGCAGGGAAAUUUUAAUGAAUGGGAUUUUUCUGACUGAAAUGAAAAUUCUUUUCUGAAUAAGUAAUACCCUUAGUUUUAGUUAGUUGCUUCUACUAACAAGAUUGUGCAUGCUUAUGAUACACUUUUCUGCAGUGAUAGAGUUACUGUAGAUUGAUUUGGAAAAAAACCAUGGGUUUUCUUAAAUGUCCAGAUGUAUAUUUAGUUCCUUUUCCAUCAGGUGGGAUCCUGAGACUAGGCAAUUGCAUCACAUGUGAACUGACUUUCCUUUUAGCUGCAUCCCCGACAGGAAGUUACUUCAAAGUGAAAUAGCCAAGAGAAGAGUGAUAGUAACCAUAGUGACACCCACCCAGAGGGCACAUAGGAGACCACAUGCCUGACAAUAGAUUAACCACUAGAUGACAAACUGCAGAGAAAGAAAAAAAUCAGAUACUUUUUUUGUAAAGACAUCAGCUAAAUCUUAACAAAUCUAAAAAACUGAGUAACUUGUCAGUGUUCUAGGUCUUAAAAUCUGUUGAGAACAACUUUUCAUUUGAAGAUGCUAGAGAUAGCUGCCUCUCAUUCUGUGCACCUGUCUUCCAUGGUUUCCUCCUCCUCUCCCUUCUCCUCUUUCUUUUUUUUUUUAAUUAAAAAAACCCUUUUUUUUUUUUAAUUGUCCAGAGAUUUUGAGGAUGGGAAAUGGAGUAGGGAUCCCUCUGGAAGUCUGUCAGGUCUUUGACUUUCUAACCCAUGUACCAUUAACCAUCUUAUGAGCCUGGCCUGGUGGAUUUCACAUACUAUUACUUAAUCAUUAUUAAAAGAAAUCUUUCUGCUUUCUCCUGUGAGGUCACAAUCUCUUUGUUCCACAUUAGACUUUUCUACAAUAUCAGGAUACCUUCUCAUGUAGCUUUAUUUGAACUCAGCUCCUGAGUUUUCUAAGGUCCAUUUCUCUGAACGUUUACACCAAAUCCAACCUUCCUUCUUUAAAUUUCUA